rnacentral:rRNA from 1 species
GACGAACGCUGGCGGCGUGCUUAACACAUGCAAGUCGAACGAAGUGGCGAACGGGUGAGUAACACGUAAUCAACCUGCCCUUCAGAGGGGGACAACAGUUGGAAACGACUGCUAAUACCGCAUACUGAAGGAGGGGAUGGCGGCUGAUUAGCUAGUUGGAGGGGUAACGGCCAACCAAGGCGAUGAUCAGUAGCCGGUCUGGGAGGAGGAACGGCCACAUUGGGACUGAGACACGGCCCAGACUCCUACGGGAGGCAGCAGUGGGGAAUUUUCCGAAAUGGACGAAAGUCUGAAGGAGCAACGCCGCGUGAGUGAUGACGGCCUUCGGGUUGUAAAGCUCUGUUAAGCGGGACGCGGUACCGGAAUAGAAAGCCACGGCUAACUACGUGCCAGCCGCCGCGGUAAUAC